CAGUCGCCGCGGUAAUACGUAGGUCCCGAGCGUUGUCCGGAUUUAUUGGGCGUAAAGCGAGCGCAGGCGGUUAGAUAAGUCAGAUGUGAAAUCCCCGGGCUCAACCUGGGAACUGCAUUUGAGACUGUAUGGCUAGAGCGUGUCAGAGGGGGGUAGAAUUCCACGUGUAGCAGUGAAAUGCGUAGAUAUGUGGAGGAAUACCGAUGGCGAAAGCACACUGCUGGGCCGACACUGACACUGAGAGACGAAAGCUAGGGGAGCAAAUGGGAUUAGAUACCCCGGUAGUCCCUGUCUCUUAUAC
rnacentral:rRNA from 1 species